rnacentral:lncRNA from 1 species
AAGCAACCCAGAGCCCUCCUCCCGCCUGCUCUGUGUAGGAGACAGCCUGCGGAGCCCACUGCCGGCGCGCAGAGAGCCCAGCAGCUCUUGAGUCCAGGAAGCAAGGGUGGGAGGAGGGACGAGCCAGUGGCAAUGACCCAGACCCGGACGACCCCCAUUGCUGAGCCAGCGGAGCUGCUUGGAGGCAGAGGUUGCAGUGAGCUGAGAUUUUGCGACUACACUCCAACCUGGGCAACAGAGCGGGACUCCAUUCCAAAAAAAUAAGAAAAACAGAAAAAUAAUAAUUACAUCUGCAAAGACCUUAUUUCCAGAGACAGAGUUUUGCUGUGUUGCCAGGCUGAUCAACUCCUGAGCUUAUGCAAUCCACUCACCUCGGCCUCCCAAAGUGCCAGGAUUACAGGCGUGAGCCACCUUGCCCGGCCAAGAUGAGGUAUUAUUACAUCAUUAUUGUAAGGCAAGAAGAAUCUGUUGGAUGAUUACAACAUUGCUGGAUUGAUAGCAGCCUCACCUGCCAGGCUCAAACUCCAGAUCCAAAGUCCACAAAUAUAUCAUAAAUCUGAAGAGGAACUGGGAGAAGCUUCUGCUGGCAGCUCAUGCCAUUGUUGCCAUUGAAAACCCUGCUGAUGUGUCAUAUCCUGCAGGAAUACUAGCUAGUGGGCUGUGCUGAAGUUUGCUGCUGCUGCUGGAGCCACAUGUAUUGCUGGUCACUUCACUUCUGGAACCUUUGCUAACCAGAUCCAAUCAUCUUCUGCCACCCACAUCUUCUGGUGGUUACUGAUUCUAGGGCUAACUAUCAGCCUCUCUCAGGGGCUUCUUAUGGUAACCUACCUACCUACCACUGCUGUAUGUAACAGAUUCUCCUCUGAGCUAUGUGGAUAUUGUCAUCCCAUGCAACAACAAGGAAGCUCAAUCACUGAGUCUAAUGUAGUGGAUGCUGGCCCAGGAAGCUCUGUGCAUGUGUUGCACCAUCUCCCAUGAUCAUGCCUGAUCUCUACUUCUAUAGAGAUCCUGAAGAGAUUGAAAAGGAAGAGUAGGCUGCAGCUGAAAAAGGAGGAAUUUCAAAGUGAAUGGACUGCUGUAGUGCAAGUUUACUGCUACUCAAUCUGAGGUUGCAGACUGGUUUAAAGACAUGCAGGUGCCCUCUGUGCCUAUUCAGCAGUUCCCUACUGAAGAUUGGAGCACUUAGCCUACCAUGAAUGACUGGUCUGCAACUUCCACUGCUCAGACCACUGAAUGGGUAAGAAUAACCACUGAGUGGCCUUAAGCUGUUCUUCCACAAGCUCUUAAACAAGAUGGAAAUAACGCUGAUGGAAAUAAACAACAGUUUCCAAGAAAACACGAACAGCUGAAGUGGCAAUGUUUAAGUAACAUCUGGUAGACUUUAACAUGAAUGUUAUUAAGCAGGAAAUUAUGAUCUUUUAAGUUGGAACAUGUAAUGUUAAUCCUUUUGCACCAAAAUAUCUCUUUAAGUCUAAAUUAUCCACUUUUUUUUUUAAUUCUUCGUAGAGAUAGAGGUUUCGCUUUGUUGCCCAGGCUGUUCUUGACUUCCUAACUUCAAGCAAUCCUUCUGCCUCAGCCUCCCAGAGUGCUGGGAUUAUAGGCAUUUGCCACCGUGCCUGGUGUACCCAGUUUCUGUUAUCAACAGAAUGCAGUGGUGUAUGGUUGCUAAAGGGUCCCAAGAUCAGGACCUACGUUAAGGUGGAUUUUGAAUUAUUUAAAAUUCUGAUUUUGUUUUAUUUUUAAUUAAUCUUUGGGGGAAGGAUGGGAGGGGGGUGAGGGUUGAAGAAGUAAACAUUGUACCUAUUGGAUACAAUGUUUAAUAUUUGUGUGAUGGGCACACUGGAAGCCCAAACCUCACUAUUACACAAUACAUUCAUGUAACAAGCCUGCACAUGCACCUCCUGAAUCUAUUUUUAAAAAUUUAAUUCUCUAGCACAGACUCCCUUUUUUUGGUAAGAUGGCGGGGUACGACUUAACUACUCGCAUCACGCACCUUUUGGAUCGGCAUCUAGUCUUUCCGCUCCUUGAGUUUCUCUCUGUAAAGGAGAUAUAUAAAGAAAAGGAAUUAUUACAAGGUAAAUUGGACCUUCUUAGUGAUGCCAACAUGGUAGACUUUGCUAUGGAUGCAUACAAAAACCUUUAUUCUGAUGAUAUUCCUCAUGCUUUGAAAGAGAAUAGAACCACAGUUGUUGCACAACUGAAACAGCUUCAGGCAGAAACAGAACUAAUUGUGAAAAUGUUUGAAGAUCCAGAAACGACAAGGCAAAUGCGGUCAACCAGGGAUGGUAGGAUGCUCUUUGACUACCUGGCGGACAAGCAUGGUUUUAGGCAGGAGUAUUUAGAUACAUUCUACACAUAUGCAAAAUUCCAGUAUGAAUGUGGGAAUUACUCAGGAGCAGCAGAAUAUCUUUAUUUUUUCAGAGUGUUGGUUCCAGCAACAGACAGAAAUGCUGUAAGUUCACUCUGGGGAAAGCUGGCCUCUGAAAUCUUAAAGCAGAAUUGGGAUGCAGACAUGGAAGACCUUACAUGGUUAAAAGAGACCAUAGAUAAUAAUUCUGUGAGUUCUCCACUCCAGUCUCUUCAGCAGAGAGCAUGGCUCGUUCACUGGUCUCUGUUUUCUUCAAUCACCCCAAAGGUUGUGAUAAUAUUGUUGAUCUCUUCCUUUACCAGCCACAGCAUCUUAAUGUGUCCACACAUUCUUCACUAUUUGACUACAGCAGUCAUAGCAAACAAGGAUGUUCGAAAACGUUGGCAGGUGCUAAAAGAUCUAGGUAAAGUUACUCAACAGGAGUCUUACACAUAUAAAGACCCAAUUACAGAAUUUGUUGAAUGCUUAUAGAUUAACUUUGACUUAGAUGGGGCUAAGAAAAAGCUGAGAGAAUGUGAAUCAGUGCUUGUGAACGACUUCUUGGUGGCUUGUCUUAAGGAUUUCAUUGACAAUGCCCAUCUCUUCAUAUUUGAGACUUUCUGUCACAUCCACCAGUGUAUCAGCAUUAACAUGUUGGCAGACAAAUUGAACAUGACUCCAGAUGAAACUGAAAGGUGGAUUGUAAAUGUGAUUAGAAAUGCAAGACUGGAUGCCAAGAUUGAUUCUAAAUUAGGUCAUGUGGUUAUGGUAACAAUGUACUCUCACCCUAUCAGCAAGUGAUUGAAAAGACCAAAAGCCUUUCUUUUAGAAGCUAGAUUUUGGCCAUGAAUAUUGAGAAGAAACUUAAUGACAAUAGCAGGUCAGAGGCUCCUAACUGGGCAACUCAAGAUUCUGGCUUCUACUGAAGAAACAUAAGGAAAAGAUUUUAAAAAAACUCUAAAAGAAAGAUGAAAUAAUAAAACUAUUAUAUAAAGGGUGACUUACAUUUUGGAAACAACAUAUUGAGUGUAAAUUGUGAAGAAUUGGAAUAAAAUUGACUGAUUCAAAAAAAUUUAAUUCACAAAAAAAUUUUAAUCCUUUUAAGCUAAUUAUAGAUUCACAUGUAGUUGUAAGAAGUUACAAAGAGGCUAGGUGCAGUAGCUGACGCCCAUGAUCCCCGCACUUUGGGAGGCCGAGGCAGGCAGAUCUCUUGAGGCCAGGAGUUUGAGACUAGCCUGGCCAACAUGGCAAAACCCCAUCUCUACAAAAAAUUAGCAAAGCAUGGUGGCACAUGCCUGUAAUUACAGCUACUUGGGAGGCUGAGGCAUGAGAAUCACUUGACCUGGGAUUACAAGUGUAAUCCCAGCCAUAGGCUGGGUGCAGUGGCUCACACCUGUAAUCCCAGCACUUUGGGAGGCCAAGGUACGGGUGGAUCACCUGAGGUCAAGAGUUCAAGACCAGCCUGGCCAACAUGGUGAAACCCCGUCUCUACAAAAACACAAAAAUUAGCCGGGCAUGAUGGUGCGCACCUGUAAUCCCAGCUACUCAGGAGGCUGAGGCAGGAGAAUCGCAUGAACCCAGGAGGCAGAUGUUGCAGUGAGCCAAGAUCACGCCAUUGCACUCCAGCCUGGGCAACAGAGUGAGACUCCACCUCAAAAAAAAAAAAACAAAAAAAAACCACCAGCCAUUUGGGAAGCCAAGGCAGGAUUGCUUGAGACCAACCAGAAGUUCAAGGUUGCCUGGGCAACAGAGCAAGACUGUCUCGAGACAAAACAAAAAGUCAGCAUCUUCUGCCCACUUUUACUUUAACAUACAUUUAUGGAUCUAUUGUCUCUUUCCCUGUUCUAAAACUUUAAAUUUCACAAGAAUGAAGAUUUUGCUGUCUUGUUUCCUGCUGUGUCCCCAGCAUAAACAGCAUAAAGAAGUGCCAUAAGAUAGAAAUUUUUGUUUUCUGUUCACCAGUAUAUCCACAGCACCUAGAACAGCAUCUGCUUUAGACUUAUUAGAUGAAGACUUAAAAAAAAAAGGAACAGCACUUCUGCACAUAUUUAGCACUUGAUACAUAUUUGUGGAAUAAUUUCUAUCAUAACUAGCAGCUACUUCCUAAUUUGAUAUGUAGCAUCCCGUAUUAACAGGACUUUUGUGAAUGGAGAGGACAUCUAUUUAUUCUUUGUUAUGUGCCAAAUAUAUUUGUAUUAAUCAUAACUCUUAAUAUUCCUUUAAAAUUAAAUAAUUGUUUCCACAGCUCUUAAAAUAGAAUUUAGGAACCUAGCAACAUGCCACUCAUCCAUUAACAGUGAUAAAUUAUUUAAUUUUAUAAACUUUUCAUUAAAGUAACUGAUAUAGUUUGGA